UGAGGAAUAUUGGUCAAUGGGCGAGAGCCUGAACCAGCCAAGUAGCGUGCAGGAUGACGGCCCUAUGGGUUGUAAACUGCUUUUAUAUGGGAAUAAAGUGAGGGACGUGUCCCUUAUUGCAUGUACCAUACGAAUAAGGACCGGCUAAUUCCGUGCCAGCAGCCGCGGUAAUACGGAAGGUCCAGGCGUUAUCCGGAUUUAUUGGGUUUAAAGGGAGCGUAGGCUGUUUGUUAAGCGUGUUGUGAAAUGUAGGAGCUCAACUUUUAGAUUGCAGCGCGAACUGGCAGACUUGAGUGCGCACAACGUAGGCGGAAUUCAUGGUGUAGCGGUGAAAUGCUUAGAUAUCAUGACGAACUCCGAUUGCGAAGGCAGCUUACGGGGGCGCAACUGACGCUAAAGCUCGAAGGUGCGGGUAUCGAACAGG
rnacentral:rRNA from 1 species